GGCCUGAUGGUCUAGGGGUAUGAUUCUCGCUUUGGGUGCGAGAGGUCCCGGGUUCAAAUCCCGGUCAGGCCC
rfam:Tetranychus urticae London genomic scaffold, scaffold_5